rnacentral:antisense_RNA from 1 species
CUUCACGGAGCCCAGCAGCAGUGGCCGAUCCGGAUCCCGGUCCUGGCCGUAGGUGGCCAGCAGGGCCUGCGCCUC